GAUGAACGCUGGCGGCGUGCUUAACACAUGCAAGUCGAACGGGAUCCCAGGAGCUUGCUCCUGGGUGAGAGUGGCGAACGGGUGAGUAAUGCGUGACCGACCUGCCCCAUACACCGGAAUAGCUCCUGGAAACGGGUGGUAAUGCCGGAUGCUCCAGUUGACCGCAUGGUCCUCUGGGAAAGCUUUUGCGGUAUGGGAUGGGGUCGCGUCCUAUCAGCUUGAUGGCGGGGUAACGGCCCACCAUGGCUUCGACGGGUAGCCGGCCUGAGAGGGCGACCGGCCACAUUGGGACUGAGAUACGGCCCAGACUCCUACGGGAGGCAGCAGUGGGGAAUAUUGCACAAUGGGCGCAAGCCUGAUGCAGCGACGCCGCGUGCGGGAUGACGGCCUUCGGGUUGUAAACCGCUUUUGACUGGGGGCAAGCCCU
rnacentral:rRNA from 1 species